AGUGUGAAAGUCAAACUGAACCUGCCUAAUUGUGCCUGCGAAGGCAAUUCAGAGAAGCUGCUCUGGGAAGGGAAUCAGGACAAUUAGCUCUGGGCUGUGUGGAGAAGGGACAAGAGCUCGCCAUGGUGAAUGUCAGCCUGUCCCUGGGGGAAGCAAAGGACAGCAUUGAGAGAGAGCGAAGAGGGCUUGAGCAUCAUUGCUGAUGUGAUCCUCUGCUGGGUGGACCAGGGUGGAGAUGGAUGAAGAGAAGAACAGCAGAGGACUGCUGGAGCAGUUGGGAGAGACCCUUCUCCAGGGAGACUGGUUGCUGCCUCCAAACUCUCAAGAGCUCUUCUGGAAAAGGGUUAUUCUUGCUGUGACCAUGACUGAUUGCAACUGGAGGAUAACAGUUCAUCAUCAGAAGCAGUGACGGCAGGGACUCAGCAGGACAGGAACCCGGAGGCAGGAGCUGAUGCAGAAGCCACGGAGGAGUGUACCAAUAGUCAAGAGAAUCCCCCAUCGAUUCUGCUCCAGCUGGAGCCCCAGGACAGAUGGGAGGGGCCGGCGAAGAUGGAUAGAAUAAUCCAGAAGAAACCCAAG